GCAAGUGCUGGCAUGUAUACACUACCUUACAGUCAGCAAGAGGUUUAUAUGCAUUGUCUCCUUUGAGCUUCACAAGAACCCUGGGAGGGGUCAUUCUCAGUCUCCCUGGAUCCGCUUAACUGCUGCCCCCUCCUCCAUUGUCCAGAGGACGUUCAGAAAUCAAUCAAAGCACUUGGCAAUAUUACGAAUUUCCAAACUGGAAUAUGGAUGCCUGGUCUUCCUGCUUUGUAGGUCAUUAAGCACCACUGCUGAUUGAAGCAAUUUCUUCAGGGAUCUCAACCUCAUUUUUAAGAGAACCUUCUCCAGUGGAAAACAAUCUCAGCCAAGAACAGCAACUCAGGAGAGAGGAAGAGCCUUCUUCAAUCAUGCUCUGACCUUGGAGCAUCAGGACACCAGGGGGAGUUGCCUGAAGUCCCCAGCUUGGCUGUUCAGAUCUUGGGGUGGCAGGCUGAAUGGAAGGAGGAAGCCUUUCAUCCCUCACCCCUGACCUGGAGGUUGAGCACUCAAAGGGUCCAAGCCAAGUCCAAAUGGUCGUCACUGAGUCCAACGGGCAGAUUCAACUUCCAGGAAUGUGUUCAAUACUUUUUGGCCUUUGGUUUUGCUGUUCCCUAGAUCUGCAGUGCCCUCCCCAUGAGGCUCCUCUCUGCCUGUGGAAACUGGACCCCACUCUUAAGACUUGGAUCAAAUGCCACAUCCUCUGAGAAGCCAUUUCUGAUUAAUGCUUAGUGACUGACUUCCCUCCCCAUGCCCUUCAGUUUAAAAUGAUCUCCCCUUCCCCUGGAAUUUAUGUAAUCCCAAUCCUACACACACUUGGUGGUCUGCUGACUCAAACGUCAUAGUCUCCCCGAAGACGACCUUUCCAGCCCCCUAAUCCCACUCCAAUGACAUUUUCCUAAAGAUGUGUGUCUCAUUCUCUAACAGAACAUCAGUCCUUCAAGAACAGGGAAAACAUAUGACUACUAAUCACAACAUGACCCCUAACCAUGAUAUGAUACAUCUCAAUUUUUGUAUGCUCAGAACCAAGUCCAAUGUUUAGGACACAAUAGGGGUUUAAUAAAUGCUUAUUGUUUAACAGUCUGA